UUAAUUUAACUUGAGUUUAAAACAGUAACCUUUGAAGUUAAAUAGAUUAAUUAAUUUUAGUAAGUUCAU